AACCCAAACUAAUAUUCACCGGCGUAAAAUGUGUUUAAGAUUCUCGAACAAUAAAGUUCAACCAAAACUAGGCCGUAAAAUGCUACAGCCAAAAUAAAGACCCCAACGAAAGUGACUUUAGCAGAUCCGAAUACACAAUAGCUAGGACCCAAACUGGGAUUAGAUACCCCACUAUGCCUAGCCCUAAACCAAGACAUUUAACCAGAACCAAAAUGUUUGCCAGAGUACUACUAGCAAUAGCUUGAAACUCAAAGGACUUGACGGUGCUUCACAUCCCUCUAGAGGAACCUGUCCUAUAAUCGACAAACCCCGAUAAACCUCACCACCCCUUGCCAAU
rnacentral:rRNA from 1 species